CCCGUGAUACAAUCAGUUAUAAACCAAUUUUGUGUUACAAGCAUUACGAGCGAUUUCCACGCACGACCCACAGUCCUCCCGUUUACAUUUUCGUUUGUUUAUUUACUCUCCACUUUUGCGCGACUGCGGUGUUUUAGUUUAUAAGAAGAAUUUCAUCUUGGAGUCUUUCAGCAUCAGUAUUUUGCAGCGUCUUAGAAAAAGCUAGAAGCAUAAACCUACACUUCGGGAGCGUAAAGUUUCAAAGAAACUCAAAAAAUACUUCUGGAACGUUUGCCUUGAAGGAAACUGGUUCUAAACGUGAGCGGUAACAUUUCUGCUUCGGAAAAGGGUAGCGAUUCAUCUGGCUCAUCAUACAUCUGGAUGAGGUAUCUUCUUCACUGAGUGGCUAUUCCGGGAGGCGUAAAAAAACUAGAAGCGAAGAAAAAAGAAAAAAGGACAUCAGACCGACACCGGAGAGCCGAAGUCAUGCAGCACAAUUCCGAUACUGCCAGAAAUGGAAACAGAAAUCUAUUCCUUCCAUUCAUCCGGCUACACCACCAAAGCCAGUCACUCCUUUCACCACAUUCAGAGGCAAGAAGGAAAUCAUGGCAGAAAGAUCGGAUACCAUCGAUGAACCCCAUCCCAGCUCAGUUCUGCUAUAAUUCCACUUUUCAAUCGGGCAAUAAAGUGCACUAUAGUUGCUUGAUUCGGGUUCCGAAAAUAUCUGGUUCGAAUUGCAGCGCCCGAGGUUUUAUGUGACCCAGACUUGAAGCGAUUACCAGUGACAAAUCUAAUAUAGUUUAUGCGUGAAAAGAUCUUUUCUGGUUCUUGGUAUAGCUCGGACUGAUAAGCUUCUCAGGCAAUCAAUGAUCAUCACCAGACCGUUGGAUUUCAUCACCAAGCAUAGAAAAUUAGUACAGUGGUUUUUUACGAUAAUUUUAAGCUCGUCGUCCCAGGUGAGUGAAAAUUGACCGAUG